CCCGCCGAACUAACAAGGAUCAUAUUGGUAACGUCGAGUGAACAGAAAAAAACUCAGCAGCCAAGCCUGUGGCCAAUUGGUCACUAGGCGUUUUGGUGUUCAGGUCAUCCGGCGGAGCUGCUGCUCCAUUCCAAGUCCAGUAUUAAAUACGGUAAUGCUAGCAUGACCCAAAGACGGUGAAAGGGCCGUCGGGAUGGGAAGGGAGAAAUAAUAAACCUUUCUGUGUAGAUCUUGGGUUCGAAUUGUUUGCGAAUUCAGUCCAAAGGGGGUGAUAUACUUCAUCCAAGGUCAAAUAAUUGCACGAGUCUGAUAGCGAACAAGUACCGUGAGGGAAAUUUGAAAAGUAUUUAGAAGAGAGAGUAAACAGUGCGUGAAACCUUUCGGAGGUAAACGGGUAGAGUUCACCUGUGAGCUCUGUGGAUUUAGCUGGUGAGUUUGAGCAUGGUCAAAUUGGUAGAUGAACGGGGUCUGCAUAGCAGCAGGUCUCCACCCUUGGGUGGGAAUGCGCAAUGCAUUUACCAAGUGUUGCGUGCUCCGAGUUUAUUCGAGCCAGUUUGCCAGUCCACUUUCGCAGAGCGGUCACUAUUGUGGUCAAACCGGUCUCGCAUUGUCUCCAUGGCUUUGUCUGGUCGGGAUUGCAGGCAUCCCG
rnacentral:ncRNA from 1 species